rnacentral:piRNA from 1 species
UAUGGUAAAUGUCAUUAACGUUUUGAUGA